UUAUUGAGUGCUUUGAUUUAACUUACGUUUCAGCUAGGGAUGCAGAUGGAUACGGAUUGCUAGAGCUUCCGUUCCGAUCCGUUCCAAAUGAGACAGUAAAAAUAAAAAAUGUAAAAAAAAUUAAUACAUUCCGAAUCCGUCCGAUCCGCUAAGUAAAUGGAGCAGGAGAUGAAAAAUCAUUUUUUUCCUUCAAUACAUUCCGAUCCAUCAAAAAUCUAUCAAAAAUUCGCUCUUAUCCCGAUCCGUCCCAAAUAGGGCGGUAAGUGAGAGCAUGACAAAUAAAAUUAAAAAUAACCCGUCCCGAAUCCAUCCCGUCCUGAUAAGAAAUAAAACGAAAGGUGGAGAGACCCUCCCGGAUCCAUCCCGUUUACAUCCCUAGUUUCAGGGAAGUUGAAUGAAGAAGCAACAGGUUUGGAUGUUAUUAUUGUGGUGCUCAAGCAGAACUAAAGAUUCAGCUCAUCUUAUUGGCCUAGUUUUGUAUAUUUCCAUCACGGCAAGUUUGUUUCAUUAAAACUGGACUUUGGAUUAAAAUGGACUUUGGGUUGAAGCAGAGUUCGGUGAAAACUAUUUCUUCCCCGCUGUUUGUUUCGUUAAUAUGAAAGUGAAGUUUCAUUAGUUCUGCUGUUUGUUUAGUAGGAAAUGUGUGAUGUAGAAUUAUAAUUUAUGUAUAAAUAACGAAUAAUUUAAUAAAUAAAAAUAAUAUAAUUAUAUUUUUAUAUAAUUAAAAUUUAAUUUAAAACAACUAAAUUAUUUUUUUGUACAUAGUAAUAUAGCAAUAAAAUUACAAAGUAAAAAAAAAAUAUUAAUCCUUAAUUAUUUAUCAUAUUUUAAUUGUAAAACUAAAUAAAAAAAAUAUUAAAACUUAACUAAUCAAUUUUUAUCAUAUUUUAAAUAUGCCUGAAUAAAAAGAGUAAUUAGCACCAUAAUUAAAUAAUAUUUAAAUAUAACAAUCUUUACAUAGUAUAUUAUUUUAUUAUUUUUUUUUAUCUUUCUUCACCGUAUCAAUUUCGGCCCUCGGUGGGCCGAAGUCGAUUACGCCAUUUCAGAUUAAAUCGAGUUUUGACCGUAACUUUUUUACGGCGAACCAAACAACAAAAGUGAUCAUUUACGGCAAAAAUGACUUUCUUUUUCUCCACUUUCACCCUACUUCGACCCAAACAAAUAUACUCUCGUUGCUUACUUUGAAAAGCACUCUUAUCGAAUUCAAUCUAGAC
rnacentral:lncRNA from 1 species